AUGUAGGGUGAAAUAUAAGGAUGUUGACCAAAACUCCAAAGAUGCAGUCCAAAAUACUAAGGAUGCAAGCUGAUACAUCAAGGAUUUAGACCGAUACAUCAAGGAUACAAGUCAACACACCAAGAGAUGAACAAAUUGAAAUAUCAAGUCUAUAGGCUAAAACAUUAAGGUGCAAAUUGAUGCACCAAGAGUUUAGAUUGAUAUAUUAAGGGAGG
rnacentral:lncRNA from 1 species